rnacentral:lncRNA from 1 species
CACCAGAGUUCUAAAUAUCCAGAACAUGCGGAAAAUCUUUAGGAGUGCAGCUUUCCUGGUUAGUGUGUCCCUCACCUCACCUUACGGAUGAGCAGCUUUUUGGAGGAUGGAGGGUAGUAUUAUUACAUUAUCUCUUCGUUUUAAUGUCCAUGAAGGAGGCAUGAGCAUUAAGUAUUUAAGCCUCUCUUGCAUGAAGCAGGCGUGGGGAACCUGUACCUCCUGGUGUGUUUGAGCCCAAACUCCCAUCAGUCCAGUGGCCCCAGAUGAUGGGAUUUGAGGUCCAUCCUAAUCUGGUGAGCCACAGUUUCCACAUUCCCGGCAUAGUGAAACUCUGUCGCUCUCUUUGCUACCAUUUUAGAAGGGUAAAAUUAUGAAAUUCUUAACACUUGGCCUACAAUAUGUUAUCUUUAUUCUUUGCUGUUAAGCCAGAGAAACAGCUCCUUACAUUCUGGCAUUAAUGGGAUAAUGGUUUGGUGUCAUGGUUAUUCUAACACAGGCACCCCCAACCUGCAUCCCUCCAGAUGUUUUGGCCUACAACUCCCAUGAACCGUAGCUAACAGGACCAGUGGUCAGGAAUGAUGGGAACUGUAGUCCAAAAUAUCUGGUGGGCCACAGGUUGGGGAUGCCUGUUCUAACAAAUCUCAUUAUCCUGAUCGCAUGGUGCGCCAGGCCAUACAGCAGUAGUAGAAGACAAGGCAUGCAGUACAUUUGCAGCGCAGGUGGAAAACUGCCUCCUGAGUGUUUUACAUUGACAUUGCAGUAGCUGUUGAUAGAACUACCUUGCAAGAGAAUGCCAUGCGAUGACUUGUUCAACCGGUUGUCUUGUAACAUUCUCCGAAGUGUUUAGAAAAGAGGGUCCUUAAAACACAGUUGAGUUGCCCUUUACUACACAUUGAAUGAAGUGCAAGAACUGUGUUAUGAAGGAUAUGUGUAACUGAGAAGGCAUAGAUCAUUGUUAAGGGGGCUUUAACAGGAUGCUGUUUAGUGAGAUGCUUUGUGCCUUCUUUGGUGAUCACUCGUAGCCGAGCAAGAUUGUCUUCCAUGAACACGUUCUUAACAGUUGUGUCCAUAAGUGACUGUGGAAGCCAAUUCUGGAUCUGCACGUCUAUAGUGGGGACAUACGUUUCCCGGCGUGAUCACAGUGAGGAUUUGCCAAACAUGCCUUCAUCUUGGCACGUUUCUCCCUUUCUGCGUUCGUGCUUCUUCAAAGUCCUGGAUGCCUUUGGUCAAGGCUGUUCUCCAACUGGAGCGAUCGCAGGCCAGUGAUUCCCACUUGUCUGUGUUUAUACUACAUUUUUAAAGAUUUGCCUUGAGAACACCUUUAAACCACUUUUGUUGUCCACUGGCAUUAUGCUUACCUAUCUAACAUUGGGAAUAGAGUACGGUGGUACCUCUGCUUACGUACUUAAUUCGUUCCGGAGGUCCAUUCUUAACCUGAAACUGUUCUUAACCUGAGGUACCACUUCAACUAAUGGGGCCUCCUGCUGCCGCCGCACGAUUUCUGUUCUCAUCCUGAAGCAAAUUUCUUAACCCGAGGUACUAUUUCUGGGUUAGUGGAGUCUGUAACCUGAAGCGUAUGUAACCCGAGGUACCACUGUAGUUGCUUUGGAGGAUGAUAAUCAGGCAUCUGAACAACAUUACCAGUUCAACGAAUUUGAUGUUGAAUCAUUGCUUCGACACUGGUCGUUGCUUUUUCCAGUACACAUUUCUUUGCCUGUUUCCCCAAGUGAUAUGUAAGACUACUGCAACUUGGGAAGGAAGUGCUUUUGAAAUAUCCCAAAAUAAGUUCUGUUCUGAGGUCUCCCAUCAACCUUGUCUCCUUUAUGUUAGAAUUGUGACCAUUAUAAUUGUUGGUCUAAGUAUAAAGCUUAUACUUAGUUGGUCUUUCAAGGUGCUACUGGAAUUAUUUAAAAAAAAUUUUUUUGAAAGAUUAUUUUAAAGACUGUCUUGAGACAAAAGACUUGAUUCUCUUAAGGGAGUUAUUUUCAGAUCAUUGAAUAAUAAUUAAAAAGUUAUAUUUCAUCUUGUUAUUUAUUAUAAUUGUUCUUAAUUCUGUGGCCUAGAAGUGCACAUUGUACAGGCUGGAUUAAACAAAAUAGCUGUGCUAGCAGAAGCCAGUGCAUCAAAUCCUGCUAGUUCAAUGGGGGGCUUCCCCCUGUCCUCACCCCACCCCCUCCAUUGGCUUUGGGGGGAUGAGAAGAACCCCUAGAUCAGCACACAGAUGAAGGACAGGGGAGAUAGUUCCAUCCAACAAGCAGAAAGGCUUGUGCUGAUAGAAAAGUCCUUAACACUACCCACCUUCGAUUUCUAUAAGACACAAUUUUAAAUUAAGAUAGGGCUGAAGCAGAGAUGCUAAUGUAAAUUUUUAAAAAUACAGAAGACUUAGGUGAUGUGAUUUCCUGGCUUGCUUCCAUUUUUACAAUCUGUUGAAGAAUAGGUGCAGUAAUUUCAUUGCGGACAUUUUCAGUUGGCUCCAAAUUUGUAAGACUGCCACACUUUAGCUGAUUAUUUUAUUAGGUGGGAUAUGCAAAGAGCAGAACUCAGCCUUUCGUUGGUAUUGCAUACUGCCUGAUACACUUCAUGUCUUCUUUCUGAUGUCUUGAACUAAUCUCCAUUGCUAAUGAAUUCCUUGAAGCUGUGUGUUUGCAGAGGCGUCCUAUGACCUUGGGACUCCUUUGGGGAAAAGGGUGGGAUAUAAAUUUAAUAAAUAACUGAAAUAAUUAAAGUGGGGGAAGCAAAUGCUCAGACAAUAAGCUCCUUGGAAUAAAGUGGUCACUUAAAUAUCAGCAGAAGGUUUUCAGAUAUCCAUGGUUUUCAUUUGACGAGGGCUGGAUUUGACUUGAAAAGUGCAUGUAACUUCACAAAGAUGUAAACCUGAGGUUUUGAGAAGCCUGCAAUCCUGAAAUGUAGUAUUUUUUCUAUGUAGGAGAUUCAUGACGGGAGUGUGGUCUUCUCCGCCCUAUUCUAUUUCAAGCUCUUAAAAAAAAGAAAGACUUAAAUCUUUGUGGGGUGGGGUGGGGGUAUAUGAUAUUGACUUUGACUUACCGGUAACAAUUUUUAUUUUCCUUUGCAAAGCUAGGCAAGGGCCCAUUUUCAUUAAAUAUGUUUGCAUUAGCAUAGAAAAAGCAGGUCACAUUUUACUUCACAUUGCACCCUUAGUAUAUCAGGUACAGCGAGUCCAGGUGACAAUUUUAGGCAAUGAAUUUAUAUAUGGGAAAGCCUGCAUAUAGCAUUUUCGUAACAUCUUACAUAUAGCUAGAUCCUCGGAGGCAUUGCCAACCUGACCCAUGGGCACCGGGUUGUUGACCCUCAUGUAUUUUUGUGGUGGUUUGGGGUUUUUUGUUUUACAAGGAAAAUUUAUGUGUAAUUCUGGUCUAUGUGCAGUGUAUUUGGGGGGUAGAGACUGAGUGGUGUGGACACUGGGUCAGUUUUGUCUACUUAGGAUUGGAUAGUGCUCCCUUGUAAGUGUGCACCUUGUGUGUGCUCCUAGGCUAGUGUUGUGAAUAUGCAAUUCCCAAGUAUUUUGGGUACAGCCAAGUGUUAACAAUGGUUCAGUUGCUCUAGUUCCAAACACCUUAAAUUAAAACUGUUAGGUGCAUCCCAGUCUUCUUUUUACCUAUACUCUAAGGGCACAAGCCUAUUAUGCCCUUACCUGGGAUUUGUUACAGCACAAAUAUGCCUAGGAUCAGCCUGCCCAUGCCUAUAAUUCAAACAAUCAGGCCCUUUAUUUAAACAUGAUUAUUUCGUGGGUGUUUGCUAAAAUCCUAGGCGUGUUCUUCCAUGAUUGCUACAGUCCGUAGCGAAGAGCUGCACCUUAAAAAUACACUUUUGGAAGUCUCCCAGAUGCGCAGGCGGACUCCAUUUGCGGACUAUUUUGCAAAAUGCUCUCUGCACAUGGUCAAAGACGGUCUUGACGGCAUGUUUCAGCGCCUGAAAUUUAAUUCCACCGAAUAGUUGGGUGUGCUUGUAGCUGUGGGGGAAUGUAACUGCUCCUCCGCCGGAUUGUCCGGCUAACAGUGCAGUCUAUGCCCCGGUAUUAAGUCUUCGUGAACUCAGUGGGUCUUAUUUCCAGGUGUUAGGAAGCAUGGCUGAGGCUCCUACAUUCACGUCCAAAAUGGCGGCGGAGCACCCGACUACACUCUGAGAGAAAUGUGUCCCCUCUCUCGUGCUCAAACUACAACUCCCACCAUGCAAUGCGAAGACCGCCGUUCGUGACGCGCCCCUGCCGCCCGCCGCGUGACGUAUAAAUAGCAACCGACCGCCUACAUCUGCCUUUCCUUUGCUGCCGCCACCGCCAUCUUGUGCCGGAGCUGUUCUGUGGUGGCUGGCGAGGUCUAUCCGUCGCCAUCCGGCCACAGCCUUGCUGCCUGUUCUCAGGGACUGAGCCCGGGGGACCCACCCCGACAUGAGAGCUAAGGUGAGUGGGGUAUCGGGCUUGGAUAGCGAGCUGACCCGUGAACGUAGCUGGGCUCGAGGCCUGCGUUGCCGUCUUUUGCUAUGGGGCGGGCUAUUGUUUCGGUUGGCCAGGUACGAAAUGGGGAAGGUUAUUAUGACGAGCGGGGAAGUGGAAGAGUUGCCAAGACCGCCUCGUGCUUCUCUGCCAGGCGAGGCCCUCCUGAUAUUUUGGGCCUACACGGUGAUAGGAAACCCUGCUGAGGCCUAGGUGCGCGAUGGCGUGUGAAUAUAGAGAGUUGGGCCUCGCAGCUUGGAGAGGGUGGAGGAAUAGCUGGUAAAGCGAGUGUCAUGGGGCGAUUCUGCAUGAGAAGCGAGUCUGUAAACCUGAUACGGUACUUGAUGAAGGCAUUUAUCAGGGCCGCCCUGAGUUUUGUUAGUGACUAUUGUACAUGCGCAUUUAGGCGUCAGUCCCAUUGAACUUGGUGGGGCUUUCUCCUAAGUAAGCAGUGCACAAGAUCGCACUAUCAAAUGUUUUAUUUCUGGGCCCCAGGUUUGUAGAGCUGCUGUUUGAAUUUUUAAAUUGACAUCAAGACUCUGCCAAGCUCCAGAGUAGCAAUUUUAGGAAAUGACACUAGUGGAUAAAAUGCUGUUGGUGCUGGGCCCAUUUUUUAAAAAAAACUACAAGUUGAGAUCUUGCACCUCAUAUAUGUUUAAAUACCAGUGUAUUUGUGUUACUCUUCUGGGUUUUGGUGCUAUAAAAAACGCUGACUUUGUCUUUCCUUUCUCUCCCCUUUCUCUAGUGGCGAAAGAAGCGAAUGCGCAGGUAUGUGAGCAUGUGUUUUUAUUUUACUGUGCAACCCACUUGUUUGCUUUGCUUUUGAAGAUUCUUGAUUAGAGUUCUCGAAAGUGCAUUGACUAAUUUAGUGAUACCGUUGUAACAACAUGGGCAUCUAAAAUUUUAAAUAGUGGCUGUUGAAAAUUAAAAUCUGAGGACCCCACUUGUUUCUAAGUUCAAAUUUGGUCUACUGGCUAUGCAGACUUAGUGAACUCCCAGUAUGCUUGCUUAAUAAAUUCCGUUGAGCUCAAUGAGGCUUAAUGUUAAUGUUGCUAGGUUUCUUACAUUGGUGCAACCAGAAGUCCAUACCAGUUACUGAUGCAAAGAAUCUAGGCAAGACAGAUGCAGAUGAGCUAUACAAAUCCUAGGUUAUCUAAAUCGCAGGUGGAUGAAGACAUGCUAGCAGUGUGAUGGAGCAGUGGCUGUUCUGCAAGGCAGUGCUUUAGAAAAAUGAGUGAUAAUUCAAAGUAUAAGACUUCCCAGUAAUAUAAUGGAAAGCAUACAGUCAGGAUGAAUACAGACUGCCACAUGUUGCAUCCAGAGAAAUAGGCCUUCCCUCAAGCCUGUUCAUCACAGAUUCAACCAGUGUAAAACAGCAAGUGAACCUCACUGGGGAGGCACAGAAAAUAAGCCGAACACAGGUCAAUCACUAAUGCAUGAGGCCAGUGUACAGAGGCAAUUUCCUUGCAUAGAUGCAUGCCUGAAUGCAAUGAUAUCCAUACUAACCAAAGUAGAAUUAGCCUUCUCUUUGACUACAACCCCUUUUUGUUUUUGAGGCACUUAUACCUCAGUGCUUUCCAUUCGUUCUUGUUCCCAACAUAAGCUUUGCACCCACUAGGGAUCAUAAAUACAGAAACAUUAGAAUUGGUGCUAUGUGAAACAGCCCUGCAGCUGUUGUAUAUAGUUAUCUGAGACACUCAGUUUGUACUUUGGAACACCCACUAGCAGAUAAACGAUUUAGCACAGUGGGGCUUGGAUGAAACACGCCUAGGAUUGUAUUGCAUAUGUGAUAAAUGAGAAUUUCAUUGAGGGCAGGAUCUCAACUUUUGGUAAAAAGCUACUGUUUGAGAUGGUAGGUAAUCUUUCAUUUUCCCUUCACUGUUGAAUACCUUAAGCAGUUGAGAACUUAAGUGUGAAUUAUUUUGCUUUUUUUAUAUGAUCCUCUUCUCCCGCCCCCCAAUGCCCUCCUCCCCAAAGUAGGUAUCAGUACUUCUCCACUAGUGAUCAGUCACCAAUGCUUCUCCUUCCCCUCCUCAGAAAAGUACAGAGGGAGGCUUCUGUGGUGGCUCUUCUACUAAUCAGGACAGGUUGCAAUAAUGCAGGCAGUAGUGGUGCUUUUAUUGCAAUAAAAGUGGAAAAAUAUCACUCCCUGCAUUAUUGCCAUCUGUUCUCAGUUGACGGGGCAAGACAGCUACAGGCUUUGCCAAAAUCAUUCUCUCCAAUGCCUCUGGGCUCUGCCUGUAACAUACAUGUUGGGAGUAUGAAAUUGUGAUGCCAAAGAAAUUAAGUGUUUCUACUGACAACUGGAAAGUUGUUGGCUGCCUGUUUAGUGCCGGGCCUGGUUCACAUUGGUGGCCCUCUUUAACCUGAUUUUUUUUUUUACCUCUAACCUGCUUAACAGGAAUGGAUAGGAGGCAGGAAGAAGAGCUGCUUGAACUGCAUCUUGUUUUGCUUUUCUCAGUUGCCUUUUGAUUCUGCAAGUAACUGGUGUGGUAGGAAGGAUAUUGGAGGAAAUGACUUACUUUAGGAAAAGUGAACUAAACAUUUAUUUAGUUAUACAAGUAUUUCUGUACUGCCAGUAUUAGGGUGGGGUACAACAUCGAAACCUUAAAUGCUAUUGAGAAGAAUACAGAUAAUCAUUAAAGUAGCUGGCUAAUCUAAAAUUAAGUGGCUUCAAAGACCUGUUGGCAUAAAAGCCUUCAAGAGAAACCUGAAAGGAAAAAACGGUACCUACUGAAUCUCUGCAGAAACAAUUUUUCACUUCAUGCGACUGGAAACACUACAUUGCCUUAUGGUAGAAUGUUUCGUUAGUAUUGACAAUUAAAAGAAUAUUAUCCCCUACAGGCUGAAGCGCAAAAGGAGAAAGAUGAGACAGAGGUCCAAGUAGAUGUCUCUCAGUGCUACUGAAGCUGCAGAACCAGAGCAUGGAAGGGGCAGAGCUUGAAAAGCUGAUUUCCAGAUAACACCUUCUAUUUGCUGCUGCUAGAAGACUCCUUGCCUAUCUUCAGGAGAUUCCAUCUUAAAGCUUAAGAGCGGUGAUCUUUCAAGGGGUGUGUGGGCCCCAGAGCUUUACUCUUCUGGACUGAUCUUGUUCUUUGUGGCUUGAUGUAGUGACUUGUAUACAAUAAAAUUCCUUUUUGGGGGGAAUUCAGCACAUUUUUUCCCCGUACCAAAUGUUGACAUUGUCAGUAAAAAGUUUGAAACAGUUAC